UGAAAGUCAUGUCAAAGUACCUGCCUAUAGAAAAAUCCCCUGUUCAGCUGAAAUGUUGGCAAAGUUUUGAGAUCUGAUGGAAGGUGACAAUCAAUUUAAAAAGGCAAAUCCAGCUGGUUUUGCUUGCAGAACAACGUUGAACAUGGAGGACAAAAAAAAAACAAA